CCGCUCCCCUCCGCUCCCGCUCCCGCCGUGCCCUGGAGAUGCUGUCGGAGCUGCGCCGCCGCCUUCCCCCCCCCCCGCCCCCCCCCCCCCAGGAAGCGACCCACGGCGCCAGAUCCGACCGACAUCGUCCCCGGGGGUGACGAAGCUUAUGGAAAAAAAGACCAAAGGCCUCGAGGGAUGUUAUUCUUGACCCCCGGGGCAAACGGAGGUGUUCACCUGGUCAGCGUCAGGAGCCAUCCUACCUGAGGCCCUGGCUCCCUCUUUCCCUUCGGUUGCCACGUGUGUGCCGGACACCUCUGGCAGGACUAACCCUGUGGCUUUUAUGUCCAACGUGCUGUGUGCCUGCAGGUAAGAAAAGCUGGGAGUGCAGUCCCUCUGCUUUGCUUGCUGUGUCUCUUGGGUAGUGAUUUUGGAGGGGAAUCCCAGAGCGAUUUGGUUUGA